CUUUGGGUCACGUCGCUCAUCUGGCCCCUUGGCACCCGAGUCGGUACAGGAGUCGGGGGUGUUGCACGAACGUGCCGAAAGGCGGGCAGUUUACUCCCUUCUGGAGAUCGAGAUGGACACUGUCUCCUCCUCCACCAGGUCACAGACCCUGGUUCACCCACGUCCACCCUUCGCCAUGUGACUGGGAUGCUGGAACGCGGCGAGCGGCGUCAGAUCCCGUGCGCGGGGGCUGAGAGGCCCUGGGGCGGAGCAUGGGCGGGAAAUCUGUUGAGAGGAUCAAGUUCGAGGCAAGGGCACAGGCCCAAAAAAGACGCCCAUUUGAAGCCCAGAGAGCUUCUCUGACACAGACGAGUGGGGAGUGUGGUCAGACGUGGCCACGUGGGUGACGGGGCUUCUCUGACGCCGACCUCAUACGCAGCUGCUCACCCUGCACCCUGCGUUUCCAGGGAUAAAACCCUAGAUUGCAGCUUACCGCUUGAGUGACGGUGGUGACCUCUUUAUUCCUCCUCCAGGGCCCCAGGGCUUGCUUUUAGGGGCCACAUGAUGUGGUCAGAACGCUUUCCCUGUCCCCCUUCAUCAGCGCUUCCCGCUCCAGGCCACCGACGCGCCUCCUGGAAUGGUCAGUGGCAUUGAUGGCACAAUUUUCUUGCCUCCCACAACGUUAAGUCCGAGUUUUUCUUUAUUUUUUUCUUUUUUAAUGUUUAUUUAUUCUUGAGAGAGAGAGACAGAGUGUGAGCAGGGGAGGGGCGGAGAGAGGGAGGGAGACACAGAAUCAGAAGCAGGCCUCCAGGUUCCGAGCCGUCAGCACAGAGCCCGAUGCGGGGCUCGAAUUCAUUAAUUGCAAGAUCUUGACCUGAGCCGAAGUCAGUCGCUCAGCGGACUGAGUCACCCGGGCGGCCCCGUGUUUUUCUAAAGGAAUAUUUCCUGUCUCCGCUGAGGCUAUGAUGAUUUGCAGCACUGAAAAGAAACUGGUAACUAAACAUUCUGCUUUCAGUUUUCUUCUAGAAGUCUCUCCAGGUGAGCCGCAUAAGUAUAGGAGGAGGUGGGGCGGGGAGGGGUCUAAAGUGCUCUUCUGUGUUCUGAGGUCAGUAGCGAGUUGAAAUAGACCCAUUAGAUCUUGGGGAAGAGGUCAAUAUUCCGAGGACAUCUACUGAAAGCGGUCUCGGGAGCGCUCAGAGGGAAGGGCUGAUUAAAUUCAUUUAAACAAAUGCCAUCUGUUAUUGAGCCUGCGUGUGCCCGCCAGGUCCUGCGGGAGCCACACAGGACUAAAUGGCCCUGCCUACCGGGCACAUAUAGAUUUCCCAGGGAGCCUGCCCCUCCAUGUUGGAGUGGCUCCGCGCUGGGCGGUCACCGGGCAGGGGCGCUCACCAGGGGAGCCCUUCGAUCCUCUGUCCUAGGAAAAGUUUUACAGCGUUUUGUUCUGAGUUAACCUUAGGCCAGGAAAUUAACACUGACGCGGUACAGUUAAUCAGCCACAGAUCUUACUCAGAGUUUGCAGAUUAGCCCACAGAUGUCCUUUUUCUGGUCCAGGAUCCUGCAUUUAACUCUCAUGCCCCCUUGGUUUCCUCCAGUCUGCAUCUCGAGGAAGUUUUAGCUCCUAGGUUUGGGGGAUUCCCUUUCUCAACAGCUUUACAAAUGCAGGUCCCCCUUCGGGGACCUCUGCUCCGGAGUAUAAUACCGAUACUGAUAAUAAUACUGUUUCUAGUAAUUCCUAGUAAUGGUGAAUGUCUCUUAGGUGCUUCGUGUACCAGACGCCGUUCAUCAUGUUACAUUUCGCAUCAUGUGAACCUCACAACGAGCCUGUGAGUUGGGUUCCGUUACCGUCCAAAUCUUUCAGCAGAGGAAGCGGGCACAGAGAACUUAGGCGACAGAGCAGCUGAGCAGCGGAGCCGGGAUUCAAACCCGCGCAGGCGGGCUCCAGAAGCCCCGCGGGUCUGGAACCGCCGUGGUCGUACUUCCUCCGGGGGCCGAUGGUGGUUCUGUGAUUGCAGACCGCGGGGCGCUGCGACACGACGGACGAGAUCCGGGACACAGGUGGUCAGAGCAGGGCUGUUACAGAGUUCUGUCCACAGAGGAGGAAGUCCUGUCCCCGGCCAGAGAAACUUCCCGGAGCAGGUGGCAAGUCAGCUCAUCCAAUACUCACAACCCCAGGUGAUGUCUGCCGGGAAGUAGGGACCUCCCAGGAGACAGCUUCCUUGUUCCCCCCAGGCUGAGUGCAGACGAGGCUGUGAGGCCAGAAGGGCAGGCCUGAGCAGGGCACGUGAGGGGCCUCCAGUGCCGAGCCAAGGAUCGCGGUCUGCUCCCUGCGGGGAGGGGGAGAUCUGAGGCAGGGGAUUUCGCAAAGAUGGAGCUCCGGGCUGAAGAGUGAAACGACGUGUUCCUGAGCGGUGGGCACACGAGGUAGAGAGGAUUUCACUCUCGCAGCCGUAGCUGCCUCGCUGCCAGCAGGAAGCCGUAGGCAGAUCCAAGACGGCCGGUGGGUGAAGUGCAUCGAAAUGCAUCCGUCCCAAAAUUCUACAAGUCUGUUACCAAGUGACAGUGUUUACUGCCGUGCAACAAAAGUUUGUUUCAAAUGACCUUGAAGGAAGUUGGACCGCCUCCCGUGUCAGCCACGAACAGAUGGAAAUGUGUGCGCAGACGGCAAGAGAAGAAUUUAUUUUGAAAGCUCUUGAAAAAUCAUGUCUCCUACCAGUGUCAGAACACGUAUCAAUGUAAGAAUACACUCUUCUGGCAUAAACAA